rnacentral:rRNA from 1 species
UACGAAGGGGGCUAGCGUUGUUCGGAAUUACUGGGCGUAAAGGGCGCGUAGGCGGCUUGGCAAGUGGAAGGUGAAAUCCCUCGGCUUAACCGAGGAACUGCCCUCCAAACUGCUUCGCUUGAGACCGGGAGAGGUGAGUGGAAUUCCCAGUGUAGCGGUGAAAUGCGUAGAUAUUGGGAGAACACCAGUGGCGAAGGCGGCUCACUGGACCGGUACUGACGCUGAUGCGCGAAAGCGUGGGGA